CUCCUCUUGGCCACCCGCCUCUUUCCCGAACAUUCCCGUUCCGCUACAGUUGAGAGGGCGAAAGGAGGGCGACGCCGUGCUCCCGCCGGCGGGGACGCCGAUUCCUUCUGCCUCCGAUGGCCUUUUAGGCCUCGGAUGUGUGGGGGAUCAGCGUCUCCACCGCUGGCGGUGUAGAUUAGGUCCUAGGUUAGCUAGGGUUUGGUUUCCCGGCGGCGGCGGCGGCGUCGCGGCCAUGGAAUAAGUCCCUCCGAUCCUGUCCCCGUCUUGUUGGUGUUUACUCCGGCGCCGGCAAGGGAUCUGUGAGGGCGGGGUUGACAGGAGCUGGAGGUCUCGCCGAGGGGGAUAGUUGAUGGGUUGAUGGUUGCCGGCGUGUUGGACUUGAGUGGCUCCCGUGCCGCCGCCGGUUGGCGUUGUGCUCAAGUCCAGGGGUGGAGUAGCAUGGGGUGUGUCCCCGGCCGAAGUUCAUCCACCGUCUGUUGCAUAUGCGGCUCCUCUCAAAGCCUUUGUGCGAAGGUGCUUCUCCAGCCCUUGAUGCCUCUGCUGUUCUCCUUCUUUCUCCGGUGAAGGUCUGGCUGCCGAUGGAGGUGGGAGACGGCGAUGGAUGAUGGUUCUGCGGAGUGGAAAAGAUCUUACGGACCUCGCUGUAAUUUUUUCUUUGUCUAAGGUCUUUUCUGCAAAAGAGUGUGGACAGCUGUCCCCUGUGUACCUCCCUAAUACGUUCCUGUAUUUGUACUGUCUGGUGUUUGUAUUUUUCCUCGUAUAAUACAGGUUCGUUUGCU